UCUGGGUGCCACAUUGCUCCCCGAAGAGCCGCGCUGCAGCCGGACCCCACUGCGGGAGCUGUCGGCACUUCUGCUUUUUCCAGCCCCUUGCGCGCGCUCCGGACAUGAAYCGCUCCGCUGUGGCCCGGCGCCGCACCCCAGCCUGGCGCUGAGGCCUCGUCCUGCCGGCCRCGCUCUUCCUCCGAAGCGGGUGGAGGAAGUUCCCCACGGAAAGCCCCGCCGGCUGCUGCAGCAGCGUUGCCCUGGCGUGGGGGGGCACAUGCACGUGGGGAAGGGCACCAGUGCGACCCCCCCCCACUCUGCAAAAAAUCCCCGCUGUCUGCACGCAGGCGGACGCCCAGUGUGGCAACGUCUCGCGCGCGGCGGCGGCUCCGGCCCCGGUGGAGCUGAGCCUCUACUACGAGAGCCUGUGCCCGGCGUGCCRGGCCUUCGUGGUGCGGCAGCUCUUCACCACCUGGCUGCUGCUGCCGGGCGAGGUGCUGAACAUCACCCUGGUGCCCUACGGCAACGCGCAGGUGGGCACCGGGCCCGGCCGCCCCCAGGAGACCAACGUCAACGGGACGUGGCGCUUCCAGUGCCAGCACGGCCCCGAGGAGUGUCUGGGCAACAUGGUGGAGGCCUGCCUGAUGCACGAGGUGCAGGACUUCAGCACCUACUUCCCCAUCAUCUUCUGCCUGGAGUCGGGGGUGUCCGUCACCAAGGACCUCGAGGCCUGCCUGCGGGUCUACGCGCCGGAGGUGGCGGCGGCGCGGGUGGCCGCCUGCGUGCAGGGCGACGUGGGGC
rnacentral:lncRNA from 1 species